AACGAACGCUGGCGGCAGGCCUAACACAUGCCAGUCGAGCGCCCCGCAAGGGGAGCGGCGGACGGGUGAGUAACGCGUGGGAAUAUGCCCUUUGCUACGGAAUAGUCUCGGGAAACUGGGGGUAAUACCGUAUACGCCCUUUGGGGGAAAGAUUUAUCGGCGAAGGAUUAGCCCGCGUUGGAUUAGGUAGUUGGUGGGGUAAUGGCCUACCAAGCCGACGAUCCAUAGCUGGUUUGAGAGGAUGAUCAGCCACACUGGGACUGAGACACGGCCCAGACUCCUACGGGAGGCAGCAGUGGGGAAUCUUAGACAAUGGGGGCAACCCUGAUCGAGCCAUGCCGCGUGAGUGAUGAAGGCCUUAGGGUUGUAAAGCUCUUUCAGCUGGGAAGAUAAUGACAGUACCAGCAGAAGAAGCCCCGGCUAACUCCGUG
rnacentral:rRNA from 1 species